UCCGUAGGUGAACCUGCGGAGGGAUCAUUACACAAAUAUGAAGGCGGGCUGGAACCUCUCGGGGUUACAGCCUUGCUGAAUUAUUCACCCUUGUCUUUUGCGUACUUCUUGUUUCCUUGGUGGGUUCGCCCACCACUAGGACAAACAUAAACCUUUUGUAAUUGCAAUCAGCGUCGGUAACAAAUUAAUAAUUACAACUUUCAACAACGGAUCUCUUGGUUCUGGCAUCGAUGAAGAACGCAGCGAAAUGCGAUAAGUAGUGUGAAUUGCAGAAUUCAGUGAAUCAUCGAAUCUUUGAACGCACAUUGCGCCCUUUGGUAUUCCAAAGGGCAUGCCUGUUCGAGCGUCAUUUGUACCCUCAAGCUUUGCUUGGUGUUGGGCGUCUUGUCUCUAGCUUUGCUGGAGACUCGCCUUAAAGUAAUUGGCAGCCGGCCUACUGGUUUCGGAGCGCAGCACAAGUCGCACUCUCUAUCAGCAAAGGUCUAGCAUCCAUUAAGCCUUUUUUUCAACUUUUGACCUCGGAUCAGGUACGGAUACCCGCUGAACUUAAGCAUAUCAAUUAAGGGCA
rnacentral:rRNA from 1 species